AUGGCGCCGUCCAUCGCCGACAUCCUAGAUGUGCUGCUCGAGGAAAUCUUCCUCCGCCUCCCCGCUGCCGAAGACCUCGCCCUGGCCUCCGCCGCCUGCCUCUCCUUCCGCCACAUCAUUGUGCAUCAUGACUUCUUGCGCCGCUACCACGCCCUCCACCCACCGCCUCUCAUCGGCAUUCUCGACAACCAGAAAGCCUUCGUCCCAGCACAGCCGCCGCACCCCUCCGCCGUCGCUGCCCGCGCCUUCACUGGCUUCGAUUUCUCUUGCUCCUCCUUCCUCCCCUCCACCGCCGGCCAUACCUAG
rnacentral:rRNA from 1 species